rnacentral:rRNA from 1 species
UACGUAGGGCGCAAGCGUUGUCCGGAAUUAUUGGGCGUAAAGAGCUCGUAGGCGGUUUGUCGCGUCUGUCGUGAAAGCCCACAGCUUAACUGUGGGUCUGCGGUGGAUACGGGCAGACUAGAGGCAGGUAGGGGAGAACGGAAUUCCCGGUGUAGCGGUGAAAUGCGCAGAUAUCGGGAGGAACACCGGUGGCGAAGGCGGAUCUCUGGGCCUGUCCUGACGCUCAGGCGCGAAAGCUAGGGGAGCGAACAGG